rnacentral:ncRNA from 1 species
AAGAACGCAUCCGGGUGUUCAACUGCUUCUAUGCUCUGUGCCAUACCCUCAGCUGUCGCGAAUGGCCUUGGCUGUGACCAAGACUUGAGGACGGCCAGAGUAGGGCGGUUGAUCUGAGAAAUACCGGCGAACUUGAUCUGGAUAAUACCAGCGAAAGGACAUGCUUCUUGACAUCCC